AACUUUUGCCAACGGAUCUCUUGGCUCUCGCAUCGAUGAAGAACGCAGCGAAAUGCGAUAAGUAAUGUGAAUUGCAGAUUUUCAGUGAAUCAUCGAAUCUUUGAACGCACCUUGCGCUCCUUGGUAUUCCGAGGAGCAUGCCUGUUUGAGUGUCAUUAAAUUCUCAACUCCGAUCGAUUUGUUUCGACCUUGGACUUUGGAGCGUGCUGGCGUCGGUCGGCUCCUCUCAAAUGCAUCAGCGGAAUCUAACGUUUCGGACGUCAGUGUGAUAAUCACGUUGCGCUGUCGACCGAUCCUGAAAGCCCGCUCAUAAUGGUCUUCGGACAACUUCAUAUCAAAUUUGACCUCAAAUCAGGUAGGACUACCCGCUGAACUUAAGCAUAUCAAUAAGCGGAGGCU
rnacentral:misc_RNA from 1 species